AAACCCCAAUCAUUUAUCUCAAGCCUUACCCAUCUCUCUGGCUCUCGCUCGCUUUAUCUGACAAAUAUUCAUCGGACUAGGACAAACUGUGUAGUGACACGACCGAGUGGGAUCGGCAUGACUCGGCGGUGCUCGCACUGCAGCAACAACGGCCACAAUUCGCGCACGUGUCCGAACCGCGGCGGAGGAGGAUGCGUGAAGCUCUUCGGCGUGAAGCUAACCGAUGGCUCGAUCAUCAAGAAAAGCGCUAGCAUGGGGAACCUCUCGGCUCACUAUCAUUCCUCCUCUUCCGCCGCCGCUUCCCCCAAUCACCUGGACUCCCCCUCCUCCGACCUCGUCCACGUGUCCGAUGGAUACUUGUCCGACGAUCCGGCCCACGCCUCCUGCUCUGCCAACCGACGUGGCGACCGAAAGAAAGGUGUCCCAUGGACAGAAGAGGAACAUCGGCAGUUCUUAAUUGGUCUUAACAAAUUGGGGAAAGGCGACUGGCGUGGGAUAGCACGAAAUUUUGUCAUAUCGAGGACUCCAACACAGGUGGCAAGCCAUGCACAGAAGUACUUUAUCCGGCAAACUAAUGCUAACCGAAAAAAGAGACGUUCCAGCCUUUUUGACAUGGUCCCAGAUAUGGCCACAGAAACACCGCCUGUGCCAGAAGAACAAGUAUUGCUACCUUCUGCUCAGACGAGAGAAACUGAUACUGCAAUGUCAUUACCUUCAUUAAAUCUCACCCUCAACUCAGAAUUUGAACCUAUGGAAGCCACACCUGAAGAAAAAGUCCAAGAACACGAUGAAAGUGUUGAGGGAUCAAGUGGACUGGCACCAAUGAUUCCUGGAUUCUUCCCUGCUUAUUUACCUCUCCAUUUUCCAAUCUGGCCACCUAAUACGGCUCCUGUGCAAGAAGAGAAGGGUGGAGAGACGUCCCAUCAUCAGGUCUUGAAACCAAUUCCAAUCCUCCCCAAGGAACCUGUCAAUGUAGAUGAACUUGUUGGCAUGUCUCAACUCAGUCUCGCUGAGGCUGAGAGAAGCCAUAGAGAGCCUUCGCCCCUCUCUUUAAAAUUGAUAGGAGGGCCCUCAAGGCAAUCAGCAUUUCAUGCAAAUGCUCCAGUCAACGGAUCUGACUUAAACAAGGGAAGGAGAUCGGGCCCAUUGGGGCGGGGCAGCCGGUGGCCCUUAAAUGAUUGUGGCCUAAUGGAUUUAUUUGUUUUGUUCUUCGCUUUGACCUUUUGGGCUCGCCAUUUGAGACGGUGCCGUUCGAGAUGCAUGCAGAUGGAUCCGAAAGGUUGAGAGAAACGUGUGGCCCUGUUGACGUCGACGACGGUGAAAUAUCAAAUAUAAGUCGUUCAAACUUCAAACCACUAUUGAGGCAUUGGCAUCUGAUUUGACGAACAAUAACAGGUCGUCUACCUGAGGCCAUUGACAGCCAAAUUCAAAGAAGUUUGGCUCUGUUAGUGAUAGGGAACCAGUCAAACAAGGCUGGUUUGACUGAUAUGAGUUAAUUAAACCCUGGGGGAAAAGCUGAACUGCAUAAAGGACCAAAGAUUUCAUUGCGGUUUGAUAUGUGUAUCGCGUCUCAUUUGGGCUUCUUUUGGAUAAAAUUUUGGAGGAUGGAGCAAAAGCUGCCGCUAGUGGGGAUGCUGCUUUCAAUAAUGUGUACCAUACAAGCAAUGGAUUCUUAUGAAGAUGAGUGGAAUUGAUGCCGAAAAAGAGGAGAAUAUCUAUGAAAGGGUCACUAAUAAGAAAGCAAGUUUAAAGCUAGCUCUUCUGUAUGAUUGCAUCAAUGCCCGCAAGUUUGGAUUAUUCGUGGAGGUCCUGGGAGCAGCUAAUUCCUUGAUGUGGCAACCCUAAGCUCCUCCUUUAAGGACAGUAUGGCAUUGACGUGACAACCCGGUGUUCCUUUCUUGUCACGGAUGCUACCUCCAGCUUUACCUCUUUUAUCUUCAGCAAUCUGUAGUCGGAUGAGACGUUUAUCUUUUAAGUUUUAAUAUAGGAAUGUUUUGCUCGGCUGCCAUUGAAAAGAUCCGUACUAACAUGUUAGCUGGCUUUCCAAGAAUCAAACAGAUUUCUCUUCGAGCCAAUGACAAAGUGUGAAACAUGACUUGUGGUUAGAUGCCUUUUGAUUAGGCAUGUUGUAUAGAUUGACUCUUUGCACUGCUUCUUGUGAAUUCUGAACAUGAGUAGAUUUUCUUGA